AUGUAGUGUAGCAUGCCCGUUUGGUGCUUAACUCUGAUGUUUUUAAUUAAUUGUUAUUUAAUUACUUUUGGGUAACGGGGUGUUACAUUCUU
rnacentral:pre_miRNA from 1 species